UAAUUCCGAUAACUUAUUCCCGCAUUUCCUUGCAGCACCGCGGCGGAGCGAGGCCCCUCCGGCAGCCGGGAGCCCUGGCAUGACGCCGCUCGCCAAAGCAUAAGCUCCCGGCGUUGAGGAGCUGCCGGCGUUUAAAGCCGGAGUUUCCGGACCCGCGGCAGGACUCGUCCCGCCGGCAGACGCGGAGGCCGGGCGGUUUCUCCCCUCUUGGCUUUUCUCGGCUCCCCCGAUCCGGGCGAAGCUCCCGGGAUCCCGGAGGCCUCCGAUGAUUCGGAGACCGAUUUAAGCUCCGACUUUCCUCGGCGAUUGAUGGUUCCAACCCCGAAAGCGCCGCGGGUUAUUUAUAAAGUGCCGCAAAUGGGUAAUUAAGACCGAAAUUCGUUACGUCGGUGCGCGUGGAUCCGGCACCAAACGCUCCGGAGGCCGGAAGCGGAGCGAGCGAGGCCGGAGUUAACGACUGCCGUGGAAAACGGAGCUGGUUGCUCCCGUCCGGCUCCGCACGGAGCAUUUCCCAGCGGCCGCCCAGCCCCUUCCCUGCGCUCCAGCCGCCCGGGGCGGUGGGAGGAUCCCCGGGGCAUUUGGGAAGGGAAUUUGGGAAGCGAUUCCUCGUUCCGGGCUCUUCCCAGCGGCUGCGCGUGUCCUUCCAGGGGGAAAAGCUUCGUCUUUGCAGCAGAAAGAGGGGGACAUUUGCUGGGGAGGUGAGCGCGCGUCCCCUUCCCGGGACAGGCAGCACGGACCCUUCGGAGAAGCGGGAAAGGACGGGGCUCUGGGUGGGAAAGACACAGCCGAUCCCGCCAGCCGGGUCGUCGGACACUGGGAAACGGCGGAAAAGCGCCUCGUUUUCCCCAGGAAAACGCGGAUGCCGGGAGAGGAGCGACGACCACUCCGUGCCUCAGUUUCCCGAUUCCCGCUGCAGCGGCCCGAAAUCCUCUGGAAAAACUUCCAGGGCGGCAGCUCAAAGCCGGAAAUUCCCAGAGGGGCCUUUAAUCGCCUAUUCCGCGUUUCUUCCUUUCCCACAUGGAUCCAGGCGGGAGCAGGGCACCAGGUCACUCCGAUAUCCCCGUAUCGGAGCCGAAGUCCGGUGCAGAGAUCUCUGGCGCCUUCCCAGCGACGCGGCUUUAAACCCGGCCUGGUUCCUCCGCGCUCCUUCCCUCCGCCCGGCUCCAGGUGGGAAGGAUCCGGCCCCGAGCUCUAUUUCCAGGGAUCGACGCAGCUGAUUUAAUCCCUGGCCGGGGAGAAACUCCGCAGCCGGGUGCUAAAAUUACCCGGCGGCGCCAGGCAGAGCCGGAGCGGAAAACGGGGGGAGGCGUUUUUACGGAUAGCGCGUAAGCGAUUCCCUUCCAAAUUUAAAUCCGGGUGAAUUUAAUCCUGGGAAAGGGAGCACCACGGAGCCGCGGGAUGAGCCAAGCGGCGCAAAGGGAUUCGGGAUUCGUGAUGGGAAGAGGGGGGGAACUGCGACGGCAGCGACCGGAGCGGCCAAACUUCCCUCCCAGCUCGGCAGAGUGGCUCCUUUCCCGGGAACGUGUUUUGGGAAGCGGCGCGGCCAGGAAAAGAGGCCGGAGCUGGGAAAAGGGCCGGGAAAGGCCGCAGCGUUGCUCCGGAGGCUUCGCUCCGGAGGCUUCGCUCCGGAGGGCGACGCGAUCCCCCCUCCCGGCCCCCCGCGCGCGCGAGAGGGAAAAGCGGAAGCGGCUCCGCGGCUCCGGCCUCCACUCACCGCCGCCUCCCCGGCCUCUCCGGGCGCCCGCCGGCGGCUCCCGCAUCCAGCCGCUGCUCCGAUCCCUCCCUCGCCGCGCCGGGCCAAUGCCGGAGCGCCGGGCGGCCCCGGGAAGCUCCACCCCGGCCCCGGAGCGAGCGCCGCCACCGCCGCUUCCGCUUUUCCCCUUCGGAUGAGGCGGAAAACGAGCGCCGAGGCCGCGAAAUCCGGGCCGCGACGGCAGGAUUCCCCACGGAGCCGAUGCAGCAGCUGGAACAGCCCUGCUCCCACCGGGAAUUCCCACCGAUCCCCCUCUGCUGUGGUUCCUCAGGCAACCUUGGCCGGCGGGAUGGCGACCCGGCUCCAGAAAAAAACCCCGGGAUGAUUCGGAAACCGCCGGGAUGAUUCGGGACCACCGGGAUGAUUCGGCUGUUGAGCUCGGAGCCAGCGGUUUGGGGCUGAAAAUACCCCUGUGGCGAGGGAAACUGAGGCACAGCGAUCCCGAGGGGAAGCGCUGGAUCAGCGGAAGAUCCCGGAUUUCCCCCUUGGGAAGGAUCCGGAGGGAGAAUGGAGGCCGAAGGCAGCGGCGUUGGAUCCACUUUGCCCACCCGGCCGCUCCGGAAAGGCCCCACAGCAGCCGCAAAUUCCGUUUUUAUUUAAUUUUCCCCCUUCCGCUUGUUUUAGGGACAAUCUCCCGCUCCGAGCGGUGACGGAGGGGGCAGAAAAAGGACUUUCCGCCCCCAAAUCCCCCGUGGGCGCCCGGCUCCGUGCUGCCAGCACAAUCCAGGCAGCCGAGCACGGCAAAUCCCUCCCAAUUAAUUAUGUUCAGACUAAUUAGCGCCGCGGCGACGACGGCGCAGAGACACGGGGGGGUUUUGGUGCCAUUUUUCCUUUUUAUAUGAAAAUCCGAAGCGUUGGAUUUGCUCCUCCGACGGGACAACGCGGCUCGGCGGCGCCUCCGCUCGUUUUCAUCCCGCAGACCCAAAAACGGGUGAAAGCAGCCCAAAAGCGGCAGGGGAGGAAGAGGAGGGUCACGGAGAGCGGCUUCGUCCCU